rnacentral:rRNA from 1 species
UCACAUACGACCAUAUCCAGUUGAAAGCUCGGGAUCCCGUCCGCUCUCCCCUCGAUAAGCAGCUGAGAGCCGAACUAGUACUCAGGUGGGUGACCACUGGGGAAUCCUCGGUGUUGUAUGUUUUUG